rnacentral:rRNA from 1 species
UUCGCAAUGCCCGAAAGGGUGACGAAGCGACGCCGCGUGUGGGAAGAAGGCCUUCGGGUUGUAAACCACCGUCGGAAGUUAAGAAAUGUAAGGGUGUUAAUAGCGCCUUUACUUGACAAAGGCUCCGGAGGAAGCCACGGCUAACUCUGUGCCAGCAGCCGCGGUAAUACAGAGGCGGCAAGCGUUGUUCGGAAUUAUUGGGCGUAAAGAGCACGUAGGCGGCUUUGCAAGUCAGUUGUGAAAGCCUUCCGCUUAACGGAAGAACAGCAGCUGAUACUACAGAGCUUGAGUACGGGAGGGGAGAGUGGAACUUCUGGUGGAGCGGUGAAAUGCGUAGAUAUCAGAAGGAACGCCGGCGGCGAAAGCGAUUCUCUGGUCCGAAACUGACGCUGAGUGUGCGAAAGCUAGGGGAUCAAACGGGAUUAGAUACCCCGGUAGUCCUAGCCGUAAACGAUGGGCACUAAGUAGAGGGGUUUU